rnacentral:rRNA from 1 species
AUGUCUUCACCGAAGAGGCUUUCCUGGGUCGUACUGAGGAAGCACGUCCCGGUCUUCGACGCCGAGGAGAAGCAUCAGGAAGACAAGAUCAUGGCCAAGGCGAGCAAAGAUUGGGGGGACAUCGAGAAAGGGUCCUGGAUACUGGACCAGUUCUCGCUCGACGCGCACCUCGUCGAGCCGCCGGAGCUCCCCACCUUGUCCGUGCGCGCCAAGAUCGAGACGCAGGAGCGAGGCAUCGGGUGCGUCCUCGACUCCGUCGUGGAGAACUACCUCGUCAUGACUCUGGGGUUCUGCGACAGGUGGUACGGGCUCGUCUACGACGCAGCCAAGAACUCGCUCUCGCUGCUCCCCGCCACCAUGGAUUCCUUCGAGGGCUACGACUUCGCGUCGAGAGUUGAUUCUGUGCCCUUCUUCUUCCUGAGGCAACCUGCCGUCCUGCCACGCGACGACGGUUCCUACGAUCUGUUCAAUCUGGGGUUCCGUUUCGCUACACGCGACAGAGUGUUGCAGGGGUCGUCGGGCAUCAUCUUCCGGUGGUCGAGCCAUGCCGCUGGCAAGAAGUGGACGAAGCAGGAGGCGCGCUUCAGCCCGCAUACCCAGGUGCCGCGCCAGCCGGCGUACAAAGUAGACGCGGCCUUCACUUUCAAAGGGAAGGAGUGCCAAGGCCGUGACUUCUCCCGCAGUUACCCCAAGGAUCGUCGGACCAUGGGCCCUGUCGGGGACUCCAUAAAGCUCAUCUCCAUUGUCACCAUCAGUGGCGACAAACCCCCGUGA